GACGAACGCUGGCGGCGUGCUUAACACAUGCAAGUCGAACGGAAAGGCCCUGCUUUUGUCGGGUGCUCGAGUGGCGAACGGGUGAGUAACCCGUGAGUAACCUGCCUUUGACAUUGGGACAACUUCGGGGAAAUGGGGCUACUACCGGAUAGGAGCUCCUGCUGCAUGGUGGGGGCUGGCAAGUUUCGGCGGUUGGGGAUGGACCCGCGGCGUAUCAGCUUGUUGGUGGGGUAGUGGCUUACCAAGCCUUUGUCGGGUAGCCGGCCUGAGUGGGUGACCGGCCACGUAGGGACCGGGAUACGGCCCAGACUCCUACGGGAGGCAGCAGUGGAGAAUAUUGCGCAAUGGGCGGAAGCAUAAUGCAGCAACGCCGCGUGCGGGCUGACGGCCUUCGGGGUGUAAACCGCUUGCGCCUGUGACGAAGCGUGAGUGACGGGAAUGGGUAAAGGAGCACCGGCUAACUACGUG
rnacentral:rRNA from 1 species